CCUACGGGUGGCUGCAGUGGGGAAUAUUGCACAAUGGGCGCAAGCCUGAUGCAGCCAUGCCGCGUGUGUGAAGAAGGCCUUCGGGUUGUAAAGCACUUUCAGCGGGGAGGAAGGCGGUGAGGUUAAUAACCUCAUCGAUUGACGUUACCCGCAGAAGAAGCACCGGCUAACUCCGUGCCAGCAGCCGCGGUAAUACGGAGGGUGCAAGCGUUAAUCGGAAUUACUGGGCGUAAAGCGCACGCAGGCGGUCUGUCAAGUCGGAUGUGAAAUCCCCGGGCUCAACCUGGGAACUGCAUCCGAGACUGGCAGGCUAGAGUCUUGUAGAGGGGGGUAGAAUUCCAGGUGUAGCGGUGAAAUGCGUAGAGAUCUGGAGGAAUACCGGUGGCGAAGGCGGCCCCCUGGACAAAGACUGACGCUCAGGUGCGAAAGCGUGGGGAGCAAACAGGAUUAGAUACCCGGGUAGUC
rnacentral:rRNA from 1 species